CGAACGCUGGCGGCAUGCCUAACACAUGCAAGUCGAACGAGACCUUCGGGUCUAGUGGCGCACGGGUGCGUAACGCGUGGGAAUCUGCCCUUGGGUUUCGGAAUAACUCAGAGAAAUUUGAGCUAAUACCGGAUGAUGACGUAAGUCCAAAGAUUUAUCGCCCAAGGAUGAGCCCGCGUAAGAUUAGCUUGUUGGUGGGGUAAUGGCCUACCAAGGCGACGAUCUUUAGCUGGUCUGAGAGGAUGAUCAGCCACACUGGGACUGAGACACGGCCCAGACUCCUACGGGAGGCAGCAGUGGGGAAUAUUGGACAAUGGGCGAAAGCCUGAUCCAGCAAUGCCGCGUGAGUGAUGAAGGCCUUAGGGUUGUAAAGCUCUUUUACCGGGGGAUGAUAAUGACAGUACCUGGAGAAUAAGCUCCGGCUAACUCCGCGCCAGCAG
rnacentral:rRNA from 1 species